AUUGAACGCUGGCGGCAGGCCUAACACAUGCAAGUCGAACGACUGGCGGCCGGGUGAGUAAUGUCUGGGCAACUGCCCGAUGGAGGGGGAUAACUCCUGGCAACGGUCGCUAAUACCGCAUACCAUCGGAUGUGCCCAGAUGGGAUUAGCUAGUAGGUGGGGUAACGGCUAACCCAGGCGCCGAUCCCUAGCUGGUCUGAGAGGAUGACCAGCCACACUGGAACUGAGACACGGUCCAGACUCCUACGGGAGGCAGCAGGGGGGAAUAUGGCACAAUGGGCGCAAGCCUGAUGCAGCCAUGCCGCGUGUAUGAAGAAGGCCUUCGGGUUGUAAAGGACUUUCAGCGAGGAGGCGUUACUCGCAGAAGAAGCAUCGGCUAACUCCGUGCCAGCAGCCGCGGUAAUAC
rnacentral:rRNA from 1 species